rnacentral:rRNA from 1 species
AUGCCUCCGCCGUCACUGCUGCGCCCUCCGCUCUCGCUGCUCCUCCGCCGCUCCCAGACCCCAUCCCCUCUCCGACGAAUCCCCAGCUUCACCCCAUCCCCUCUGCUCGUCCCGCCCAAGCGGCGGCACCUCUCCGCCGCCGCCGCGCAGCUCGCCGACCCGCUCUCCGCCGCAGGUUCGUAUUCUUUAUUUUCCUCCUUCAAUAACGCGUGCCGGACGCGCGACGUCGUGACCGGGAUUUGGUUUGCAGGGGCGGAGGAAGCGGUGGCGGGCUUCGUCACAGGCAAGCGUAAGGCCACCGAGGUAGCCCACGCGGUGUGGAGGAGUAUCGUUCAGAAAGGAGAUGCAGUGGUUGAUGCCACCUGUGGGAACGGAAAUGAUACGUUUGCUCUGCUUAAGAUGGUGUCCGAUGACACCGGGCGAGGGCGUGUUUACGGGAUGGACAUCCAAGAUUCUGCGAUCGAUAGCACUUCCUCUUUUCUGAAAAUGGCCGUCGACAGUCGCGAGAUGGAGCUAGUCAAGUUGUUUGCAAUGUGUCACAGUAGAAUGGAGGAUAUUGUUCCAAAAGAUUCUCCUGUCAGGCUUGUAGCAUUCAAUCUGGGCUACCUUCCAGGAGGAGAUAAAAAAAUAAUCACAGUACCUGAGACAACUGAGCUGGCACUACAAGCUGCCAGCAGAAUUGUUGGCUCAGGGGGACUCAUAAGUGUCCUUGUCUACAUUGGGCAUCUGGGUGGGAGGGAUGAACUCGAUAUUGUUGAAUCAUUCGCGUCAAGGUUGCCUGUUGAUACAUGGGUGAGCUGCAAGUUUGAAAUGAUUAACAGGCCAGUUGCUCCAGUACUAGUUCUCCUGCACAAGAAAUAA